rnacentral:tRNA from 1 species
CUCCGAUUAGCUUAGUCUGGUUAAAGUACGCCGUUUGGGACGGUGGGACAAACGUUCGAAUCGUUUAUUGGAGA